UGAGUCCCUGGGUGCACCAUCCCAACAAAUGACUAUUCCUGACUUUAUAUGAACCAAUAAAGCCCUCCUUUGCUCUCUAAUGGUGGUGGGACUUUAAAGCAGGAUCACAUUUAUACUAAGUAUGCAAUCUACCACUGAACUUCACACUUGACAUCCAAUCUAAUAACUUCCAUCUUGCUACUGAUUGCAUUAGGUAUCUUUGUUGUUGUUUAUUAGUUUGUUUGAAACAACCAUCUUCUUACCCGAUCACUCUUAAAUUUUAGAGUGGCUUUUUAUUUAUUUUCUUUUUAAAAGUUUUUUAUUGGAUAUUUACAUUUCAAAUGUUAUCCCCAUUCCUGGGUUCCCCUCUGGAAAUCCCCAAUUCUAUCCCCCACUCUCACUGCUUCGAUGAGGGUGCUCCCUCUCCUACCCUCCCACUCCCACCUCACCACCCUGGCUUUCCCUUACCCUGAGAAAAACGAGCCUUCACAGGACCAAGGACCUCUCCUUCUAUUGAUGCCAGAUAAUGCCAUCCUCUUCUACAUAUGCAGCUGGAGUCAUGGGUCCCUCCAUGUGUACUCUUUAGUUGGUGGUUUACGGUAAGUCCUUGGGAGCACUGGGGGCUGUGGUGGGUUAAUAUUGUUGUUCUUUCUAUAGGGUUGCAAACCCCUUCAGCUCCUUCAGUCCUUUUUCUAACCCCUCUAUUUGGGUCCCCAUGCUCAGUCCAAUUGUUGGUUGUGAGUGUCCAC
rnacentral:lncRNA from 1 species